GAUGAACGCUGGCGGCGUGCCUAAUACAUGCAAGUCGAGCGAACAGACGAGGAGCUUGCUCCUCUGACGUUAGCGGCGGACGGGUGAGUAACACGUGGAUAACCUACCUAUAAGACUGGGAUAACUUCGGGAAACCGGAUCUAAUACCGGAUAAUAUAUUGAACCGCAUGGUUCAAUAGUAAAAUACGGUUUUUCUGUCACUUAUAGAUGGAUCCGCGCCGCAUUAGCUAGUUGGUAAGGUAACGGCUUACCAAGGCAACGAUGCGUAGCCGACCUGAGAGGGUGAUAGGCCACACUGGAACUGAGACACGGUCCAGACUCCUACGGGAGGCAGCAGUAGGGAAUCUUACGCAAUGGGCGAAAGCUUGACGGAGCAACGCCGCGUGAGUGAUGAAGGUCUUCGGAUCGUAAAACUGUGUUAUUAGGGAAGAACAAAUGUGUAAGUAACUAUGCACGUCUUGACGGUACCUAAUCAGAAAGCCACGGCUAACUACGUG
rnacentral:rRNA from 1 species